CUCAUUACAUUUAACUUCCUUAAAAUGACAUUUCUGAGUUCAAAUGAAUAAGCAGUGGGAAAUAACCUAAGGCUGAACUAGGUUUAUAUUGCAUCGGAAUGUGACUGGAUUGUGAGGAGGUGCAACAUUUUCAAAAUGUAAUAUUAAACUUACAUUGUGCCAAAAAA